GAUGAACGCUGGCGGCGUGCCUAAUACAUGCAAGUCGAGCGAACAGACGAGGAGCUUGCUCCUCUGACGUUAGCGGCGGACGGGUGUGUAACACGUGGAUAACCUCCCUAUAAGACUGGGAUAACUUCGGGAAACCGGCGCUAAUACCGGAUAAUCUAUUGAACCGCAUGGUUCAAUAGUAAAAGACGGCUUUGCUGUCACUUAUCGAUGGAUCCCCGCCGCAUUAGCUAGUUGGUAAGGUAACGGCUUACCAAGGCGACGAUGCGUAGCCGACAUGAGAGGGUGGUCAGCCACACUGAGACUGAGACACGGUCCAGACUCCUUCGGGAGGCAGCAGUAGGGAAUCUGCCGGAAGGGGCGGAAGCCUGACGGAGCAACGCCGCGUGAGUGAUGAAGGUCUUCGGAUCGUAAAACUCUGUUAUUAGGGAGGAACAAAUGUGUAAGUAACUAUGCGCGUCUGGGCGGGACCUGAGCAGAGAACCAUGGGUUACUACGUG
rnacentral:rRNA from 1 species